AUGGAGGUGAAGAGCCUGGAACUCGAUACUGAAAUCUCAGCAAGAGAGCUGCCAUUGGGUACAGUUUGUUUUGGAAUUAAAGCAAAUAUAUCCAGAAAUUGUACUCAGGAUAUUCAAAUAACAGUGACGGAGGCAGUGAAGGAACUUCAGUAUAGGAGAUGGCAUCUCAUUUCUUCACUGUUCUCACAAAGGUGACCAGCUGUGUGACAAAUCCUUGGAAUCUGGAGCUGACCCCUGAGGGGUUCAGUUUCUUUGAAAACCACAGAAGGGAAAAUGCAGUGGAGAACUUGUGAACAACUGGGUCAGGAAAAACUGCGGCUGCUUUUCAGGGCUCUGAUCUAGGAACCCCAGAUGCAAAGACAUGCUGGCGUCCUCUUGCUCAGCCAUUCACCAGGAAACAGGUGAGCCAGCUCACUUCAUCAACCUCCGUGUGCAAUGUAGCUCAACAAAUAACUGAUUGACAAUCCUUUAUAAAUAUUAACAUGGUGCAAAAGUAAUGGCAAAAACCACAAUUACUUUUGUAUUUGUGUACUAAUACUAUUGGCUGUGUUGUCACAUGUGUGCAUUUGGAUUUACUGAGGCACUGUUUCAGAGGGUAUUAUCUGGACUUGUUAUACAUUUUGACUCACUAAGAGUAAUAUUCCUAAUGUACUUGUUUUUUUUUUUUUUGGCAUAGAAACACUAUGUUGAGUCUUAUUUUAAUGUUUCAAGGUUUCAAAAUUUUUCAGUUUGCUAAGCAGGUAUGUGUAUAGAACUUCUCCUAGGGGGAAGAGGAAGACACGAUUGAAUGAGUUGAAGACAAGAGUUGAGCUAUUACGUGUGUCGUGCCUUUGCAAUAUGGAUAGAAUCUAUUACUUUUUUUUUUUUUUUAAACAAAACCCCAAAACUAAUUCAGACAGAUAAGUAUGGUUCUUCAAAUACCUUCCUUAAUAUUUAGAAUUUCUUUAAUGAUUGAUGUUACUCAAAUAUGCUACAACUCUUCUCUCGGAAUUACUCUUGGAGUCAUUUUAGGAACUAAAAACAUAAUCCAUCUAUUUCUUUUGGGCACAGCAAUUAUUUUGACCAAAUAAUAUUAUGCAGCUGGAUUAUUCACCCUUAGUCACCAAACUUGGCUCUGAAUAGCCAUUGCCUUUUCCCCCCCCCGCAUCCAGAAAUAAAGGCCACAUACAAAGUCUGAAGAUUGUUUACCAAUGACACAAUUCCAAAGAAAAGCUUAGAAAAUGAUUCACAAAAAGAAUUUCAAACAUGGAAGUGUUUGA
rnacentral:lncRNA from 1 species